rnacentral:lncRNA from 1 species
UGCAGAGCUGGAUGUGCCCUGAGGCCAAAACCUCCCGGAAGGAGGUGUGGGGGGGGCAAUAUGGAGUUUUUCCACUGCUGCAACUAGGUUGCCUGCUCUGUGCUUCUUCUUCAACUGCUUCCCCACCACCUGUGUUUGACACUCUGAACCUGGCACAGCUUUGCCCACAAUGGACUCCCUCCAUACCAGCACCCUUGCUUGGCCAGAGGUUCCAGAUAUUACUCAUAGCCAAUGAGCAUAGUGGCAUUCCAUCUCAAUCUCUUGAAUUGGACUCCUAUCUAUUUCCAUUGCUACCAUACUAAUAUAGAUUCCUAAAGGAACAAGUUGGAAAACUGCCUGAUGAUUCUCCCUGCGACUUUGGGAGAGCCCAGAUGCAUUCAGCUUUAUGUUCCCUAAAUUUGUGUUAGAGAUGAACCAGCAUGUACAUGUGGACUUGAAAUCCUUCAAAAAGAAGCUGCAUAACCCCCUAUUGGAUAUUGUUGAGGACUCAUAAUUUGUAUGGGGGUCAAGUGAGAUCUCAUGGAUUUGAACCAUGCAAUUCUAUGACUUUAUGAACCCAUAAAGAAACACAAACUAAAAGCCACUCAGUUUUUGAUUAUUUUUAAUAUAUUGGCUUCAAAUUCUUCCCAAAAGGAAUUUCUUAAGGGGGAGGGAAGACACAGAGCUUUUGGAGCUACUAUCAAGACAAAGGAGUUUUAUGAACUGGGAAGUGGCAUAGUCAUUUAUGUAAGCAAAAAUUUUUAUUUUGCCUCACAUUCACUUCUUUAUGGUUUAGAUGAGAAUUUUCCUCCUUGUCAUAACUUAUACUUUAGCAAUAAAUCAUGUUUUUCUCAAAUUGUAUC